rnacentral:rRNA from 1 species
GAUGAACGCUGGCGGCGUGCCUAAUACAUGCAAGUCGAGCGAACAGACGCGGAGCUUGCUCCUUUGACGUUAGGGGCGGACGGGUGAGUAACACGUGGAUCACCUACCUAUAAGACUGGGAUCACUUCGGGAAACCGGAGCUAAUCCCGGAUAAUAUCUUGAACCGCAUGGGUCAAUGGUGAAAGACGGUUUUGCUGUCACUUAUAGAUGCAUCCGAGCCGUAUUAGCUAGUUGUUAAGGUCAAGGGUUACCAAGGCAACUAGGCGUAGCCGACCUGUUGGGGUGAUCGCCCACCUUGGAACUUGGCCACCCUCCAGACUCCUACGGGACGCAGCAGUAGCGAAUCGUCCGCAACGGGCGAGAGCCUUGCGGAGUAGCGCCACGUGAGUGAUGGAGGCCUUCCGAUCGUAAUACUCUGUUAUUAGUGGAGAACAAAUGUGUAAGUAACUAUGCACGUCUUGACGGUACCGAAUCAGAAAGCCCCGGCUAACUACGUG